ACUGGCGGUCAAAACUCAAAAAGCUGGGAUUCUGUGUGUAAGCGUACUGAGCACAGUCACUGGCCGCCAAUCCCCAUAUCCUCUCCUUUACCCUCCUUCUCCGCCUCCACCACUGGUUUGUAGCUCAAGGCUCUAACAAACACAGAGAAAAAGAAGAAGAUCCAAACAGGGCCUUAGAAGUCUGGGGCCAUGAAGAUUCUGGUUCCUUUUCUAGCUUCAGUCUUGCUAUUGAGCUACUUUUCGUGCAAUUACGCAGAAGACGACGUGAAGUGCCUGGAGGGCGUCAAGCGCGCGCUCUCUGACCCGGCCAACAAGCUCAGCUCCUGGACAUUCACCAACACGUCCGUCGCCUCAAUCUGCAAGCUCGAGGGCGUGGCGUGCUGGAAUGAGAAGGAGAACCGCCUUAUUAGCCUCGAGCUUCGGUCGAUGCAGCUCGCCGGCGAGCUUCCGGAGUCCCUCAAGUACUGUCAGAGCCUCCAGAUGCUCGAUCUCUCCGGAAACGCACUCGCCGGCCCCAUCCCUCCUCAAAUCUGCCUUUGGCUGCCCUAUCUCGUAAACCUAGAUCUUUCCGGCAAUCGUCUCUCCGGCCCGAUCCCUCCGGAGAUCGCCGAUUGUAAGUUCCUCAACACCUUGGACUUGAGUAGCAAUCGCCUCUCCGGUUCGAUCCCCUACGGUCUCGGCCGCUUAGAUCGCUUGAAGCAGUUCUCCUUUGCCGACAACGACCUCUCGGGCUCUGUACCGUCAGAUUUGGGGAAAUUUAACGAAUCGUACUUUGACGGGAACGGUGGGCUCUGCGGAAAGCCCCUCGGGUCCAAAUGCGGAGGACUGAGCAGCAAAAGCCUCGCCAUUAUAGUCGCCGCCGGCGUAAUCGGCGCCGCGGGGUCGCUGUUUUUAGGAUUCUUGGUUUGGUGGUGGUUCUUCGUGAGGGCAAGUGGGGAAAAGCGACGCUACAGUGUUGGUGCUAAGGGAGAUGGUAGCUGGGUCGAGCUACUCAGGUCACACAAGCUUCUCCAAGUCUCUUUGUUUCAGAAACCCAUUGUCAAAGUCAGGUUGGCCGAUUUGUUGGCCGCGACGAACAAUUUCAACUCCGAGAACAUCGUGAUCUCGACAAGAACAGGGGUUUCGUAUAAGGCGGUGUUGCCGGACGGGUCGGCCCUCGCGAUCAAGCGGCUCAAUAAUUGCAAGCUUAGCGAGAAGCAAUUCAGGUCGGAGAUGAACAGGUUGGGGCAGCUAAGGCAUCCCAAUUUAGUGCCUUUGUUGGGUUUCUGUGUGGUGGAGGAAGAGAAGCUUUUGGUGUACAAGCACAUGUUUAAUGGGACCUUGUAUUCCCAAUUGCACGGCAGUGGCAAUGUUAACAGCCAGUACGGUUUUCUGGACUGGCCGACGAGGCUAAGGAUUGGGGUGGGUGCGGCCAGAGGGCUUGCUUGGCUUCACCAUGUGUGUCAGCCGCCAUAUUUGCAUCAAAACAUUAGCUCCAAUGUGGUUCUUCUCGAUUAUGAUUUUGAAGCUCGGAUAACGGAUUUUGGAUUGGCUCGGCUUGUGGGAUCUCGUGAUUCUGAUGAUAGCUCGUAUGUGAAUGGUGAUUUGGGCGAGCUUGGUUAUGUGGCUCCCGAGUACUCGAGCACAAUGGUUGCGUCGUGGAAAGGUGAUGUUUAUGGUUUUGGGGUAGUGCUUUUGGAGUUGGUGACGGGGCAGAAGCCUCUUGAAGUCACCAAUGCAGGGGAGGGAUAUAAGGGGAGUUUGGUGGAUUGGGUCAGUCACUUGUUGAUCGCUGGUGGGAGCAAGGACGCCAUUGAUAAGGCUCUGAGUGGAAAAGGUCACGAUGAUGAGAUUGUGCAGCUCAUGAGGGUUGCUUGUAACUGUGUGGCUUCUAGGCCCAAGGAUAGGCCUUCUAUGUACCAGGUUUAUGAGUCAUUGAAGAGCAUGGCAGAAAGACAUGGUUUCUCUGAACAGUAUGAUGAAUUCUCGAUGAUCUUUCGCAAACAAGAUCCUGACUAUAAGGAGUAGCCUAGGUUGGGAAAAGUUCACAAGCACAAAAACAAAAAAGGGGCACUUGCAUGCUCUGAGAAUUGCAGCAUUAGGGCAUCUCUGGAUUUUAUGUCAUAAUCUGAAACGCAUUUUCAGCAAUUGGACCAGAAUUCUGUUGUGGGUGUUGGAACUUGUAACUUUGCUUUGAUUGUGAAGCUUGAAAGAUUUGGUGGAAAUUUUGGUUAACCAACAUGCAGGGAAAGAGGGUGUUCAAUCUAUUUCGGUCAAAAUUCAGUUGUGAAGCAAACGUAAAGGUGUUCUUAGAUUUCCCAAAGAUGCAAAAACCAUUGGGCAACUUGGUCAUAAAUAACAAUUACAAUAUAGAGGCUCCCUGAGGCUUUGACCCCAUAGCCAUAGGGGGUCCGACAAGUAAUGUCUGAUUUGCAAUAAACUCUAUUAAAUUACAGGUUUCACUAAAAAUAAAAAAGUUAUGCCUAAUGGGCAAGAUAUGGUAAGUGUGUAUUUGUUACGAGGGAUUUUGGAAGUACGGAAGAGGAAA